rnacentral:tRNA from 1 species
UGGCUGAGUUAAAGGCGGUAAACUGUAAAUUUAUUCAGGGAUAUUUAUUCUCCUAAUA